CGAACUGCCGUUGACAAACGGAGGAAGUGGGGAUGACGUCAAAUCAUCAUGCCCCUUAUGUUCUGGGCUACACACGUGCUACAAUGGCCGGUACAGACGGACGCAAAGCCGCGAGGUGGAGCAAAUCCUAAAAAGCCGGUCUCAGUUCGGAUUGCAGGCUGCAAUUCGCCUGCAUGAAGUCGGAAUCGCUAGUAAUCGCAGGUCAGCAUACUGCGGUGAAUACGUUCCCGGGCCUU
rnacentral:rRNA from 1 species